AACGAACGCUGGCGGCAUGCCUAACACAUGCAAGUCGAACGAAACCUUCCUGUCUAGUUGCGCACGUGGGCGUAACGCGGGGGAACCUGCACUUAGGUUCGGCAUAACUCCCCGUAAGGGGUGCUAAUGCCGGCGAAUGUCUUCUCACAAAAGAUUUUUCGCCUUUGGAUGGGCCCUCGUUGGAUUAGCUAGUUGGUAGGGUAAAAGCCUAUCAAUGCGAGGAUCCAUAGCUGGUGUGAGAGCCGGGUCAGCCACACUGGGACUAAGGCACGGCCCAGACUGGUACGGGAGGCAGGAGAGGGGAAUAUUGGACAGUGAAGGAAAGUGAAGGACAGCAGUGCCGGGUGAGUGAUGAAGGCCUUAGGGUUGUAAAGCGCUUUUAACCGAGACGAUAAUGACGGUACCGGGUGAAUAAGCACCGGCUAACUCCGUG
rnacentral:rRNA from 1 species